AAAAACCCAGGUGGUGUGAGAUGGAUCCGCGUCUGAUUAGCCAGUUGGCGGGGUAACGGCCCACCAAAGCGACGAUCAGUAGCCGACCUGAGAGGGUGACCGGCCACAUUGGGACUGAGACACGGCCCAAACUCCUACGGGAGGCAGCAGUGGGGAAUAUUGCACAAUGGGCGCAAGCCUGAUGCAGCGACGCCGCGUGAGUGAAGAAGUAUCUCGGUAUGUAAAGCUCUAUCAGCAGGGAAGAAAAUGACGGUACCUGACUAAGAAGCCCCGGCUAACUACGUGCCAGCAGCCGCGGUAAUACGUAGGGGGCAAGCGUUAUCCGGAUUUACUGGGUGUAAAGGGAGCGUAGACGGCGACGCAAGUCUGGAGUGAAAGCCCGGGGCCCAACCCCGGGACUGCUUUGGAAACUGUGUUGCUGGAGUGCAGGAGAGGUAAGUGGAAUUCCUAGUGUAGCGGUGAAAUGCGUAGAUAUUAGGAGGAACACCAGUGGCGAAGGCGGCUUACUGGACUGUAACUGACGUUGAGGCUCGAAAGCGUGGGGAGCAAACAGGAUUAGAUACCCUGGUAGUCCACGCCGUAAACGAAGAAUGCUAGGUGUCGGGGGGCAAAGCCCUUCG
rnacentral:rRNA from 1 species